ensembl:lncRNA
AGCGAGAGCAAGCAAUUGCACUGGAGAGCUGUUGAAAUCCAUCGUGGGUCCAAUGUUACUUCAGAUGGGACAAUGAUCCAAAACACACCUCCAGGAUGUGUAUGGGCUAUUUGACAAAGGAUAGUGAUAUCGUGCUGCAUCAGAUGACGUGGCCUCCACAAUCAUACCGACCUCAACCCAAAUGAGAUGGUAUGAGAUGAGUUGGACCGCAGAGUGAAAGAAAAGCAGCCAACAAGUGCUCAGCAUAUGUGGGAACUCCUUCAAGACUGUUGGAAAUGCAUUCCUCAUGAAGCUGGUUGAGAUAAUGCCAAAAGUGACCAAAGCUGACAACAAGGCAAAGGGUGGCUACUUUGAAGUAUAUAAAAUAUAGUUUGAUUUGUUCAACAUGUUUUUGGUUACUACAUGAUUCCAUAUGUUAUUUCAUAGUUUUGAUGUCUUCACUAUUAUUCUACAUUGUAGAAAAUAGUAAAAAUAAAUAAAACCCCUUUAUAUAUUUAAAAAAAUAUAUUUUCCUUUACUAUUUCCCCUAACCUUACCACCCCUCCCCUAAUUGGAGUAAACUAAUGGACACAACACUUAGGCUUCUACUUCCAGCUUAUACACACUACAUACAUUUUAAGGACACAGCGGUGUUUGUCAGACCAUGAGACAUCUCAAAGAUUUGGCCUACAAACUAAUAUGACCCCUCUAUGUAAAGAUGAGACUCUCACGAACACAAUGAUGUUCUCCGUUUUGCUCUUGUGGGGGUCAUCUGAAGGUAACCGGUACCGUUAAAAAACGUAAUGGAAGCAUGUAAGUAGUUUUGUGCACCCAAAAAAUAAGGGGUCAAAUGUGCCCCGAAAAAGUAAAAAAUCUUGAACUUUAUUGUAUCUCCUAGAUAAUGAACAGACUUCAAAACCUCAUUCCUUAUCCUUAUGAUUUACUUUUUUACUGUAUUUUGUUUGUCAUAAAUGUGUUAUUCAAUGCGUUUCUAUGGGCUAUAGUAGUAAAGGUCAAAUUCAAUAUUUUAUCAAAUUUUUACAUUUUUUUUACAACUAAAGGGGUCCUAAAAUGUUAUAUCAAAUAGCUAAAUGGUAUGUGUCACGACUUCCGCCGAAGUUGGUUCCUCUCCUUGUUCAGGCGGCAUUCGGCGGUCGGUGUCGCCAGUCUUUGAGCCAUCAUUGAUCCACUUUUCAUUUUCCAUUUGUUUUGUCUUGUCUUCCCACACACCUGGUUUCAAUUCCAUCAUUACAUGUUGUGUAUUUAACCCUCUGUUCCCCCCAUGUCCUUGUCCGGAAUUGUUUAUUGUAAGUGCUUGUGCGCGUUAUGUCUGGUGUGCGACGGGUUUUGUACCCAUUAUAGUUUUGUUUACGGUGAUUUUUAUUAUUAAACUGCGCCAUUGUAUCACA